CAGGAGACACAAGAGAAGAAUAAGAAAAACAAGAAAAUACAACAAGAGACAUGGAUCACUAAACACACAAAGGACGCAAAGGAUAACUAAUACAGCAUAAACACGGAGAGGAACCAAGGCAAGAAACAAGGACUACCACCCGGUGCCUUCGCUCAUGUCUGAGGAGGUUUGUGACAGCUGGUUGGUGUAUCCAUUGUCACUAAGGGACACAGAGGUAAAAGGUGUGCCGGGGCCACACAUCUCACUGGAGAUGCUAUGCAUGGAGCCUGGCAUAUUGGGCUCUGGACUGGGCCACGCCCACCUCAUCAAGCAACUCUGCACCUGGGCACACAGCUGCAGCUCAUCUGCAAUCAAGCCAGUAUUUAAACCCUGUCCACCAGCUCUUUGCCACACUAUCUCAGCUUCAUACAAGACUUUCCAGCACUCUUCUUUGUUGUUACGGACUGAUACCUAGUUCUGAUCCUGCUGCCUCCUUGUCGACAUCCUCUGUCUUUUGCCUCAUGGUACUGUUGCCCAGAUGUGAACUUUUGUGAGCUCCUCAUAUUUAUAUACACAAGACAAUGAUCACAGAGUAUAAACCUCUCUUCACUUUCAAGGCAUGUUCACCUGUGAGCAGGUUAUGGCUGAUACAAGGUUUCAUUCUAAUCUCUAUUAAUCCCCUAAAAUAAUUCUUAAUUCUGUUUCUUACCCAGAGAUUAGGCUGCUUCAUUCCACUGCAUUUGCUCCUAACCUCCUAUGAUUUGAUACACCUCUACGCCUGCCUGCAACUAAAAACUAUUGUACAUAUCAUUCAGUUUCUUUCUUUUUAGAAAGAGAUAAUCCAUGAUUGGCAUGCUGUGAUUCUCCAAGUUCUUACAGCAUUUGAAUGAAGCUUCAAAAUGAUCUCCUUUAAGAGGAUUAGUCCCUGUCUUUUUCUUCUUUGUUUCAAUACCUUGAAUAACAAUCUGUGUCAUUCCACUGAUUUUUUCAGUUAUCCAGGGAGAAGCAAACGUAUUUACAGGGCAUCACACAGGGCAUCAGCCACAUUGCUACCCUAUGACAUUGCCUUCAUAUCAGAGACCUUAUUCUGUGCUUUGGCAUAUGACUACCACUGGUCCAGAAUGAGAUACAACUGAUGUGAACACCAUGGCAAGAAUGUCUAUUAGAGGGAAAAUACAUUUUCACACAUCUCCCAAAAAUGACAUACCAAAUAUUAGAUACUAUACUACUAUUAUACUAGUAGCGUAGCUCUGUGAUGAAUAGCUGUGUGCGUAAGUAUGAAACGUAGAGUGAGUGAGAGUGAAAGAGGAUGGGAUGUCUGCGUGUGAGGUGACAGUGAGCGUGUGGACAGACGCAGAGAAAAGAGAAUAAGAGAGAGUUAGCAGCGAGUACUAUCGUGUGUUUAUGACAUUUAUAAGUGCAGUUUGUAGACCAUCAAUAAAGCCAUGACUCCUUGAGACCAA